rnacentral:rRNA from 1 species
CAGUAGCCGCGGUAAUACGGAGGGUGCAAGCGUUAAUCGGAAUUACUGGGCGUAAAGCGCACGCAGGCGGUCUGACAAGUCAGAUGUGAAAUCCCCGGGCUUAACCUGGGAACUGCAUUUGAAACUGUCAGGCUGGAGUCUUGUAGAGGGGGGUGGAAUUCCAGGUGUAGCGGUGAAAUGCGUAGAGAUCUGGAGGAAUACCGGUGUCGAAGGCGGCCCCCUGGACAAAGACUGACGCUCAGGUGCGAAAGCGUGGGGAGCAAACAGGAUUAGAUACCCCAGUAGUCCCUGUCUCUUAUAA